rnacentral:rRNA from 1 species
GUAGGUGGCAAGCGUUGUCCGGAAUUAUUGGGCGUAAAGCGCGCGCAGGCGGUCCUUUAAGUCUGAUGUGAAAGCCCACGGCUCAACCGUGGAGGGUCAUUGGAAACUGGGGGACUUGAGUACAGAAGAGGAAAGCGGAAUUCCAAGUGUAGCGGUGAAAUGCGUAGAGAUUUGGAGGAACACCAGUGGCGAAGGCGGCUUUCUGGUCUGUAACUGACGCUGAGGCGCGUAAGCGUGGGGAGCAAACAGGAUUAGAUACCCUGGUAGUCCACGCCGUAAACGAUGAGUGCUAAGUGUUAGGGGGUUUCCCGCCCCCUUAGUGCUGCAGCUAACGCAUUAAGCACUCCGCCUGGGGAGUACGGCCGCAAGGCUG